UAAUGAUUGCGAAUGGUUGCCUUCAGUGCUGGCUCGCAAGAGCAAGUGCACGUUGGUGGCUUUCCUCCCAUUCCACACCCUGUGAACCUUUGGCCUCUUGCUAGCUUCGGCCGGCGGAGGAUUUUUUACAUAUACUCGCAUGUAAUGAAAACUAUUGUUGUGCGCAAGCACUACUAUAUACAACUUUCAACAACGGAUCUCUUGGCUCUCGCAUCGAUGAAGAACGCAGCGAAAUGCGAUAAGUAAUGUGAAUUGCAGAAUUCAGUGAAUCAUCGAAUCUUUGAACGCACCUUGCACCCUUUGGUAUUCCAAAGGGUAUGCUCGUUUGAGUGUCAUUGUACUCUCACACUCUCCGAUCCUUUGGAUUUGGGGAGCGGUGGACUUGGGUGCUUGCCGCUUUUGUUGGUGGCUCACCUCAAAUGCGUUAGUGCAUCUCUUGAUUGGACAUAGUACGGCGUGAUAAGUGUCUUCGCCGGCACCUCACUUUGAGGGUGGCUGAUCGGGAGCUCUGUGCUUCAAACUGUCUUCGGACAAUCUCUGACAACUUG
rnacentral:misc_RNA from 1 species